UUUGAGAGAGAAAGACGUCGCAGAUGGAACAGUUGUUAAAGCUCGGGGCUCAUUUUAUAAACCAGUUCAAGUCUGUUCCAGAGAACAAACCGGUUUGAUAUUUAAAAUCAUGUGAAAGUGCAAUAAGCAGGACUUCCUAAAUCAGGUUUGAUGGAGUCGCUAAUCGGAUCGGCCGAAAUUCUGGCCAGAGCAGGUGUUGGAUGCAGCAUUCGAUAAAAAGGUCAGCUCUUUAAUUUUUGGAGAAGGAAAGCACCAGCUAAAAACAGGAUGAAGUCAGAGAAAGUAGGAACAACAUAAAAGGAAACAAUCUUCCAGCUCUGGAGACAAUGGUACAGCCUCCCUGCAGAACCGAUCGGAUUCAGCCAGCAGUAAGAAGUCUGACCUCUGUGACCAGGAGCUGAUGUAGCCCAGCACUCGCA